rnacentral:rRNA from 1 species
UUGACUGGGGCGGUCUCCUCCUAAAGAGUAACGGAGGAGCACGAAGGUUGGCUAAUCCUGGUCGGACAUCAGGAGGUUAGUGCAAUGGCAUAAGCCAGCUUGACUGCGAGCGUGACGGCGCGAGCAGGUGCGAAAGCAGGUCAUAGUGAUCCGGUGGUUCUGAAUGGAAGGGCCAUCGCUCAACGGAUAAAAGGUACUCCGGGGAUAACAGGCUGAUACCGCCCAAGAGUUCAUAUCGACGGCGGUGUUUGGCACCUCGAUGUCGGCUCAUCACAUCCUGGGGCUGAAGUAGGUCCCAAGGGUAUGGCUGUUCGCCAUUUAAAGUGGUACGCGAGCUGGGUUUAGAACGUCGUGAGACAGUUCGGUCCCUAUCUGCCGUGGGCGCUGGAGAACUGAGGGGGGCUGCUCCUAGUACGAGAGGACCGGAGUGGACGCAUCACUGGUGUUCGGGUUGUCAUGCCAAUGGCACUGCCCGGUAGCUAAAUGCGGAAGAGAUAAGUGCUGAAAGCAUCUAAGCACGAAACUUGCCCCGAGAUGAGUUCUCCCUGACUCCUUGAGAGUCCUGAAGGAACGUUGAAGACGACGACGUUGAUAGGCCGGGUGUGUAAGCGCAGCGAUGCGUUGAGCUAACCGGUACUAAUGAACCGUGAGGCUUAACCUUACAACGCCGAAG